GAUGAACGCUAGCGGGAGGCCUAACACAUGCAAGCCGAGCGGUAGAGUUUCUUCGGAAACUUGAGAGCGGCGCACGGGUGCGUAACACGUGUGCAACCUACCUUUAUCUGGGGGAUAGCCUUUCGAAAGGAAGAUUAAUACCCCAUAAUAUAAUGAUUGGCAUCAAUUAUUAUUGAAAACUCCGGUGGAUAGAGAUGGGCACGCGCAAGAUUAGAUAGUUGGUGAGGUAACGGCUCACCAAGUCAAUGAUCUUUAGGGGUCCUGAGAGGGAGAUCCCCCACACUGGUACUGAGACACGGACCAGACUCCUACGGGAGGCAGAAGUGAGGAAUAUUGGACAAUGGGUGAGAGCCUGAUCCAGCCAUCCCGCGUGAAGGAUGACGGUCCUAUGGAUUGUAAACUUCUUUUGUACAGGGAUAAACCUACCCUCGUGAGGGUAGCUGAAGGUACUGUACGAAUAAGCACCGGCUAACUCCGUG
rnacentral:rRNA from 1 species